rnacentral:rRNA from 1 species
CACUGAUUAAUUAAAGAGCCGCGGUAUUUUGACCGUGCAAAGGUAGCAUAAUCAUUAGUACAUUAAUUGUGUACUGGAAUGAAAGGUUUGACGAGAAAUAUACUGUCUCUAUUUUAUAAAUAUAAUUUUACUUUCUAGUAAAAAGGCUGGAAUGUUUUUUUAGGACGAUAAGACCCUAUAGAGUUUAAUUUUAUAUAUUUUAUUAUUUUGGGUUUCAUUUAUAUUAAUUAAUUUUAUUAUAAAUUUUGUUGGGGUGAUGUGAAUAAUAAUUAAACUAUUCAUUUUUAUUAUCAUUGAUUUAUGUUUUUUAUGAUCUUGUAUUAUUGAUAUUAAGAUAAAAUUACCUUAGGGAUAACAGCGCAAUUAUCUUUGAGAGUUCUUAUUGACAAGAUAGAUUGUGACCUCGAUGUUGGAUUAAGAUUAGUUAUUAGGUGUAGGUGCUUAAUUAUAAUUGGUCUGUUCGACCAU